AGGCAACAGGAUGGAUGACUCUGGUCGGGGUCCUCUUCCUACUUGUAGAUGGUCACUUUUUGCUGUGUCCUCCUGUGGCAUAGAAGAGAAUUCUUAUUAGGUCACAGUUCUAUGGGAUUAGAGUCCUACUCUUGCGAGCUCAUUUAAUCGUUUUUUUCAACAUUAUUUUAUUGGUGCAUUGUGGUUGUAUGUAAUGGUAGGAUUUGUUGUUGCAAGUUUGUAUACACACAUAUUGUAUAUAUAACAAUAUAAUGAACUUAUUUAAUCUUAAUUACCUCCUAAAGACCCCCCAGGUAUAACCAUAUGGUGAUUAGUGCAUCAACAUAUAAAUAGAGGGACACAAUUCUGUCUAUGCAUAUGCUUUUGUUUUGGUACUGGAUUGAAUUCAGGCGAAUGAGACCACUGAGGCAGCCCUUUUUUAUAUUUUCUUUAGAGACAGGGUCUCACUGAGUUGCUUAGCACCUUGCUUUUUACUGAGGCUGAACUCAUGAUCCUCCUGCCUCGGCCUCCCAAGGCACUGGGAUUACUGGCAUAUGUCACCACAUCCGACCAUAUUAUGUGCUAUUACUUCCAUUGGCCUUAGCUAGAAGAAGGCUCUUGCCCAAAAGAAUAAGAUAGCAUCAAACUCCCUUUUGCACAUGGAAUUAUAGUAAAAAUUCAGGCAAAGACAUGCUGCCUGCAUCAGGAACAGAGAUGUGUUAUGGUUCAGCACAAGGCAAUACAUUUGAAUUGGGUUCCAUGACUCCCUGCUAGGAUCAAGCACUCACAAUUUUCCCUGGUAGUAAAAGGAUACUUAUAGAUUUAAAAAGUACAUGUGUAAGAAUGUUAAUCCCAGUGUGGUUUGCUCCAGUAAAAAAGUAGAAACACACUCAAUAUCCAGGUUGGUAAUUGAUAAAGAACCUUAGGAUAGGAGCUGGGGUGUAGCUCAAGAGUAAGAGUGCUUGCCUAACAUGCAUGAAGCCUAGGUUCUAUUCCUAACACUGAAAACAAAACAAAAACUUAGAGUGUGUGGGUACUAUUAACAUCAGAUCAAUAUUGGCAUCAGAUUCACCAUUUUAGGUCGGGAAUCAUUUUAUCUAGAAACUCCAAAGUUUUGACUCUGAGGCAAUGCUGCUUAACUUCCCAUAAGAACAUGGACCUGCUAAAUGAUCAACUCAACCCCAGUUUAUGAUGCAACUCCUAAACAGCUUAUGAAAUUCCUCUUGGGGCUAUAGAGUUGCUCUGUGACUGCAGACAUGCUGCUGCUCUCUUCA
rnacentral:lncRNA from 1 species